ensembl:lncRNA
UCUUGUUGGAGAUCCCUGUAUACCUGAGGCCUUCUGUAGAAUUCCACGCUUAUGAGCAGUCCUAUGAAUGUUUUGGUCAGUUGCUGCCAUUAAAUGAAGCCUACAGAAUUCAUGGCAUCUUAAGAAACCCAUCUAGUUGAUGACAGGACUUGGACCAACAGACUCAGUGUCUCUGGGUGAUGGACAACUGAGGAGAAGUCUGCUUUAUAAAGGCACUGUGACUUCAAAUUAUGUGUGUACAGACUUGCUUUUCAUUCCAGCACUUCUAUAUCUGAAUGUGCUGGAGCAAGAUGCUGAGAUGGAAAGCCACAGAAACUUUAUAUUGAAACAUCCUCAUUUGAUUGAGGGAUUCAUGUGGGACUUGAGAGGUUUGAUACGUUUGUAAGGAUCCUCAUACAUUUCUAGUAGUGAAAACCACACUUAUGACCUGCCCUUAACACUGGAAGGAAGGUUUCUGGAAGCUAGGUAUUAUGGAAAUCUACAGCUUGAUUCACUUGCCUAUACAUCCACAAAUAACCUUAUUUUAAAUGACUUGGGAUAUUCAAUCUGACCUCCAGCUGCUGUUCCAGGUCUGCCAUGUGACUGUCUCUGAUAUUGUGGAGAAUCUCUAAGGCUUGUAGCUGACCCAUGCUCUGACAUCAGGUUCGUGACAUGCUCCUUGAAGAGUAAGGUGGGAAAGUCUGUGCUCAAUGGAAAGACGUUAAUAUGAUUGCUCUUUCUGGGAGGCUUCACUGUGGAAGAACAGCUUUAAUUAAAAGCUCAGUUUGGUGGUGGGGUUUGUUUUUAUAGAGUUCAUCUAGAAGAUACCAAGUAUCAGCAGUGCUCAAUUCCUGGCUAGACUCAGUGUUCUUCAGUACUCAGCUAGGAUGUUCUGGGUCCUUCAUUUUUCUUUCUUUUCUUUUUCUUUCUUUUUUUUGACCAUUUGUGCUCUCUUGACAACUGUUAUAUUUGGAUGGAUCUCAGGUUGAAGAUCACUGGAGUCAUUCACCCUUCUGAUCAUCCUGGACAUCAGGUUUAUGUGAAAUUGGAAUUGUCUUGUUAUGCUCAUUUCUGAAUGGAAGCGUUUCGCAUGCCUCUCAUGUCUACACUUGGGCUUUGGGUCAGAUACUUAGUAUGCUCAAGAUUUCAUUCUGUAGCUGUGACAGAGUAUGUCAUGUUAGUUUUGCAUUCAUUUAUCAGUCAUGAGUGUUUGAAACUGUAAGGAAGAGCCAUUCUCACAAUAUGAGUGAGAAACCUGAGGUUAUGGGUUCCUCGGCACAUCAGCUGCAAAGUUGCAUGUGGGGACUAGCUAGUUAGAGGUAAAGAUAAACUGGUCUUUUUAACUUAAAAAUGUAAUGUAAGAUGGUAAGUUAAAAGAAACACUGUAUGGUUGUACAUGACACUAGAGUAGAUUUGUCCUCAGUGUUGUUCCAUUAAGCAAACUUUAGUGGCUCAUUAAAGACUGCCUUAGUAGGAGCAUGGUGAACAGUGGAAAUUUAAGAUUAUUUUUUGAGAACAGAAAUAAUUUAAUGAAAACUUUGACCAUCUUAAGCUAUACAUCUUAAACUGUGUUUUACUUGCUCCGUUAUUAUCAGAAAUGCAGUGUAGUAAAACAUGAAGUACUCUAAAAAAAGCCCCACAAACAUUAUUGAAGUCUUAUAUGGGCACUUGAUGUUGAAGCAUCUUUACUACCAGUUUAUAGACACUUAAAAUGUCGUUGUCCUAUAAGGUCAAAUGCUCUUGCAACUUCACUAAUGGCAGUUACGUUGCCUACCCUGUAUUGCAUUAAAUCUUUGUAUGCUUAUUUAGAGCCCUAUACUUCUUCAGCUUUAAAUACUCUUACAUAUGUUAUAGAAACCAGAACUU